CGACUGGAAAUAGAACGUCGGGCAUUGUCUCGGUGGCUGCGAGCAGCGACAAGAUUGACAGUUGCGAUUCUCUUCUAGUGUGCGGUGCACCCCGACGCCAAAAUCGGACACACAAUCGCUAGUCGUGUAGUUUGAGCCUGGCUUUAAGUGUCAACCACUACCUCCAUGAUGUCAACAGCUUGCCGAUAGGUUUGCCCUAAAUCCGUUCUUGCCUGGCUGAGUCGGACAAGAUUACAGGUGUGUGCUAUGGCAAAGCUUUGGAGGCCGAUGUGGUUAUUGCUGUUGCUGGCUUCACUCGUCCUGGAUUCACUUGGUGAAGUGUAUGUCAGUAAGAACUACAAAAUCACUACUGGUAAUGCCAUGGUCCUGCCGUGUAGGGGGGCAAAGGAACGGGAGCGGCGUGGCUCAGUGAGGGUGGAUGGCUUACCCCUGAAUGCCUUGCCCGAUAUCCAGCUCCAGAAUGACUCUAUAUGGUUCCUGCCUGCUCACGGCAACCACUCUGGGGUGUAUAAUUGC